AUUGAACGCUGGCGGCAGGCCUAACACAUGCAAGUCGAGCGGAUGAAGGGAGCUUGCUCCUGGAUUCAGCGGCGGACGGGUGAGUAAUGCCUAGGAAUCUGCCUGGUAGUGGGGGAUAACGUCCGGAAACGGGCGCUAAUACUGCAUACGUCCUGAGGGAGAAAGUGGGGGAUCUUCGGACCUCACGCUAUCAGAUGAGCCUAGGUCGGAUUAGCUAGUUGGUGGGGUAAAGGCCUACCAAGGCGACGAUCCGUAACUGGUCUGAGAGGAUGAUCAGUCACACUGGAACUGAGACACGGUCCAGACUCCUACGGGAGGCAGCAGUGGGGAAUGUUGGACAAUGGGCGAAAGCCUUAUCCAGCCAUGCCGCGUGUGUGAAGAAGGUCUUCGGAUUGUAAAGCACUUUAAGUUGGGGGGAAGGGCAGUAAGUUAAUACCUUGCUGUUUUGACGUUACCAACAGAAUAAGCACCGGCUAACUUCGUG
rnacentral:rRNA from 1 species